rnacentral:lncRNA from 1 species
AAAUGGCCAAAAACGGGUGGGCUAUAGCCUUGGCGGGGGGCGUGGGCGAAGUUCGUCCGCCGGACUCGGAAUGGCCCCAGACUUGACGGGCGGCCUCCGUGUGCCAAAAAUAGGCCACGGGUACAGCCGCGCCCAAUAAUCAGCCCCCGAAGUCGGGGUCCUAAGACCCCCCAGCGGAAAAAUGGCCAAAAAAUGGGUGGGUUAUAGCCUUGGUGGGCGGCGUGGGUGAUGUUCGUCCGCGGGACUCAGAAUUGCCCCAGACUUGGCGGGCGGCCUCCGUGUGUCAAAAAUAGGACACGGGCACAGCCUUGCCCAAAAAUCAGCCCCCGAAGGUCGGGGUCCCAAGACCCCCCAGCGGAAAAAUGGCCAAAAAACGGGUGGGCUAUAGCCUUGGUGGGGGGCGUGGGCGAAGUUCGUCCGCCGGACUCGGAAUAGCCCCAGGCUUGGCGGGCGGCCUCCGUGUGCCAAAAAUAGGCCACGGGCACAGGCGCGCCCAAAAAUCAGCCCCCGAAGGUCGGGGUCCCAAUACCCCCCAGCGGAAAAAUGGCCAAAAAACGGGUGGGCUAUAGCCUUGGUGGGGGGCGUGGGCGAAGUUCGUCCGCCGGACUCGGAAUGGCCCCAGACUUGGCGGGCGGCCUCCGUGUGCCAAAAAUAGGCCACGGGCACAGCCGCGCCCAAAAAUCAGCCCCCGAAGGUCGGGGUCCCAAGACCCCCCAGCGGAAAAAUGGCCAAAAAACGGGUGGGCUAUAGCCUUGGCGGGGGGCGUGGGCGAAGUUCGUCCGCCGGACUCGGAAUGGCCCCAGACUUGGUGGGCGGCCUCCGUGUGCCCAAAAUAGACCACGGGCACAGCCGCGCCCAAAAAUCAGCGACCGAAGGUCGGGGUCCCAAGACCCCCCAGCGGAAAAAUGGCCAAAAAACGGGUGGGCUAUAGGCUUGGUGGGGGGCGUGGGCGAAGUUCAUCCGCGGGACUCGGAAUGGCACCAGACUUGGCGGGCGGCCUCCGUGUGCCAAAAAUAGGCCACGGGCACAGCCGCGCCCAAAAAUCAGCCCCCGAAGGUCGGGGUCCCAAGACCCCCCAGCGGAAAAAUGGCCAAAAAAUGGGUGGGUUAUAGCCUUGGUGGGCGGCGUGGGUGAUGUUCGUCCGCGGGACUCAGAAUUGCCCCAGACUUGGCGGGCGGCCUCCGUGUGUCAAAAAUAGGACACGGGCACAGCCUUGCCAAAAAAUCAGCCCCCGAAGGUCGGGGUCCCAAGACCCCCCAGCGGAAAAAUGGCCAAAAAACGGGUGGGCUAUAGCCUUGGUGGGGGGCGUGGGCGAAGUUCGUCCGCCGGACUCGGAAUAGCCCCAGGCUUGGCGGGCGGCCUCCGUGUGCCAAAAAUAGGCCACGGGCACAGGCGCGCCCAAAAAUCAGCCCCCGAAGGUCGGGGUCCCAAUACCCCCCAGCGGAAAAAUGGCCAAAAAACGGGUGGGCUAUAGCCUUGGUGGGGGGCGUGGGCGAAGUUCGUCCGCCGGACUCGGAAUGGCCCCAGACUUGGCGGGCGGCCUCCGUGUGCCAAAAAUAGGCCACGGGCACAGCCGCGCCCAAAAAUCAGCCCCCGAAGGUCGGGGUCCCAAGACCCCCCAGCGGAAAAAUGGCCAAAAAACGGGUGGGCUAUAGCCUUGGCGGGGGGCGUGGGCGAAGUUCGUCCGCCGGACUCGGAAUGGCCCCAGACUUGACGGGCGGCCUCCGUGUGCCAAAAAUAGGCCACGGGUACAGCCGCGCCCAAUAAUCAGCCCCCGAAGUCGGGGUCCUAAGACCCCCCAGCGGAAAAAUGGCCAAAAAACGGGUUGGCUAUAACCUUGGUGGGCGGCGUGGGCGAAGUUCAUCCGCGGGACUCAGAAUGGCCCCAGACUUGGCGGGCGGCCUCCGUGUGCGAAAAAUAGGCCACGGGCACAGCCUUGCCCAAAAAUCAGCCCCCGAAGGUCGGGGUCCUAAGACCCCCCAGCGGAAAAAUGGCCGAAAAACGGGUGGGCUAUAGCCUUGGUGGGGGGCGUGGGCGAAGUUCGUCCGCCGGACUCGGAAUGGCCCCAGACUUGGCAGGCGGCCUCCGUGUGCCAAAAAUAGGCCACGGGCACAGCCGCGCCCAAAAAUCAGCCCCCGAAGGUCGGGGUCCCAAGACCCCCCAGCGGAAAAAUGGCCAAAAAACGGGUGGGCUAUAGCCUUGGUGGGGGGAGUGGGCGAAGUUCGUCCGCGGGACUCGGAAUGGCACCAUAGUUGGCGGGCAGCCUCCGUGUGCCAAAAAUAGGCCACGGGCGCAGCCGCGCCCAAAAAUCAGCCCCCGAAGGUCGGGGUCCCAAGACCCCCCAGCGGAAAAAUGGCCAAAAAAUGGGUGGGCUAUAGCCUUGGUGGGGGGCGUGGGCGAAGUUCGUCCGCGGGACUCGGAAUGGCACCAGACUUGGUGGGCGGCCUCCGUGUGCCAAAAAUAGGCCACGGACACAGCCGCGUCCAAAAAUCAGCCGCCAAAGGUCGGGGUCCCAAGACCCCUCAGUGGAAAAAUGGCCAAAAAACGGGUGGGCUAUAGCCUUGGUGGGGGGCGUGGGCGAAGUUCGUCCGCGGGACUCGGAAUGGCCCCAGACUUGGCGGGCGGCCUCCGUGUGCAAAAAAUAGGCCACGGGCACAGCCGCGCCCAAAAAUCAGCCCCGAAGGUCGGGGUCCCAAGACCCCUCAGCGGAAAAAUGGCCAAAAAACGGGUGGGCUAUAGCCUAUGUGGGGGGAGUGGGCGAAGUUCGUUCGCCGGACUCGGAAUGGCCCCAGACUUGGUGGGCGGCCUCCGUGUGCCAAAAAUAGGCCACGGGCACAGCCGCGCCCAAAAAUCAGCCACCGAAGGUCGGGGUCCCAAGACCCCCCAGCGGAAAAAUGGCCAAAAAACGGGUGGGCUAUAGCCUUGGUGGGGGGCGUGGGCGAAGUUCGUCAGCGGGACUCGGAAUGGCACCAGACUUGGCGGGCGGCCUCCGUGUGCCAAAAAUAGGCCACGGGAACAGCCGCGCCCAAAAAUCAGCCCCCGAAGGUCGGGGUCCCAAGACCCCCCAGCGGAAAAAUGGCCAAAAAAUGGGUGGGUUAUAGCCUUGGUGGGCGGCGUGGGCGAAGUUCGUCCGCGGGAUUCAGAAUGGCCCCAGACUUGGCGGGCGGCCUCCGUGUACCAAAAAUGGGACACGGGCACAGCCGUGCCCAAAUAUCAGCCCCCGAAGGUCGGGGUCCCAAUACCCCCCAGUGGAAAAAUGGCCAAAAAACGGGUGGGCUAUAGCCUUGGUGGGGGGCGUGGGCGAAGUUCGUCCGCCGGACUCGGAAUGGCCCCAGACUUGGCAGGCGGCCUCCGUGUGCCAAAAAUAGGCCACGGGCACAGCUGCGCCCAAAAAUCAGCCCCCGAAGGUCGGGGUCCCAAGACCCCCCAGCGGAAAAAUGGCCAAAAAAUGGGUGGGCUAUAGUCUUGGUGGGGGGCGUGGGCGAAGUUCGUCCGCGGGACUCGGAAUGGCCCCAGACUUGGCGGGCGGCCUCCGUGUGCCAAAAAUAGGCCACGGGCACAGCCGCGCCCAAAAAUCAGCCCCCGAAGGUCGGGGUCCCAAGACCCCCCAGCGGAAAAAUGGCCAAAAAACGGGUGGGCUAUAGCCUUGGUGGGGGGAGUGGGCGAAUUCGUCCGCGGGACUCGGAAUGGCACCAUAGUUGGCGGGCAGCCUCCGUGUGCCAAAAAUAGGCCACGGGCGCAGCCGCGCCCAAAAAUCAGCCCCCGAAGGUCGGGGUCCCAAGACCCCCCAGCGGAAAAAUGGCCAAAAAACGGGUGGGCUAUAGCCUUGGUGGGGGGCGUGGGCGAAGUUCGUCCGCCGGACUCGGAAUGGCCCCAGACUUGGCAGGCGGCCUCCGUGUGCCAAAAAUAGGCCACGGGCACAGCUGCGCCCAAAAAUCAGCCCCCGAAGGUCGGGGUCCCAAGACCCCCCAGCGGAAAAAUGGCCAAAAAACGGGUGGGCUAUAGUCUUGGUGGGGGGCGUGGGCGAAGUUCGUCCGCGGGACUCGGAAUGGCCCCAGACUUGGCGGGCGGCCUCCGUGUGCCAAAAAUAGGCCACGGGCACAGCCGCGCCCAAAAAUCAGCCCCCGAAGGUCGGGGUCCCAAGACCCCCCAGCGGAAAAAUGGCCAAAAAACGGGUGGGCUAUAGCCUUGGUGGGGGGAGUGGGCGAAGUUCGUCCGCGGGACUCGGAAUGGCACCAUAGUUGGCGGGCAGCCUCCGUGUGCCAAAAAUAGGCCACGGGCGCAGCCGCGCCCAAAAAUCAGCCCCCGAAGGUCGGGGUCCCAAGACCCCCCAGCGGAAAAAUGGCCAAAAAACGGGUGGGCUAUAGCCUUGGUGGGGGGCGUGGGCGAAGUUCGUCCGCCGGACUCGGAAUGGCCCCAGACUUGGCGGGCGGCCUCCGUGUGCCAAAAAUAGGCCACGGGCACAGCUGCGCCCAAAAAUCAGCCCCCGAAGGUCGGGGUCCCAAGACCCCCCAGCGGAAAAAUGGCCAAAAAACGGGUGGGCUAUAGUCUUGGUGGGGGGCGUGGGCGAAGUUCGUCCGCGGGACUCGGAAUGGCCCCAGACUUGGCGGGCGGCCUCCGUGUGCCAAAAAUAGGCCACGGGCACAGCCGCGCCCAAAAAUCAGCCCCCGAAGGUCGGGGUCCCAAGACCCCCCAGCGGAAAAAUGGCCAAAAAACGGGUGGGCUAUAGCCUUGGUGGGGGGAGUGGGCGAAGUUCGUCCGCGGGACUCGGAAUGGCACCAUAGUUGGCGGGCAGCCUCCGUGUGCCAAAAAUAGGCCACGGGCGCAGCCGCGCCCAAAAAUCAGCCCCCGAAGGUCGGGGUCCCAAGACCCCCCAGCGGAAAAAUGGCCAAAAAAUGGGUGGGCUAUAGCCUUGGUGGGGGGCGUGGGCGAAGUUCGUCCGCGGGACUCGGAAUGGCACCAGACUUGGUGGGCGGCCUCCGUGUGCCAAAAAUAGGCCACGGACACAGCCGCGUCCAAAAAUCAGCCGCCAAAGGUCGGGGUCCCAAGACCCCUCAGCGGAAAAAUGGCCAAAAAACGGGUGGGCUAUAGCCUUGGUGGGGGGCGUGGGCGAAGUUCGUCCGCGGGACUCGGAAUGGCCCCAGACGUGGCGGGCGGCCUCCGUGUGCCAAAAAUAGGCCACGGGCGCAGCCGCGCCCAAAAAUCAGCCCCCGAAGGUUGGGGUCCCAAGACCCCCCAGCGUAAAAAUGGCCAAAAAAAGGGUGGGCUAUAGCCUUGGUGGGGGGCGUGGGCGAAGUUCGUCCGCGGGACUCGGAAUGGCCCCAGACAUGGCGGGCGGCCUCCGUGUGACAAAAAUAGGCCACGGGCACAGCCGCGCCCAAAAAUCAGCCCCCGAAGUCGGGGUCCGAAGACCCCCCAGCGGAAAAAUGGCCAAAAAACGGGUUGGCUAUAACCUUGGUGGGCGGCGUGGGCGAAGUUCGUCCGCGGGACUCAGAAUGGCCCCAGACUUGGCGGGCGGCCUCCGUGUGCGAAAAAUAGGCCACGGGCACAGCCGCGCCCAAAAAUCAGCCCCCGAAGGACGGGGUCCCAAGAUCCCCCAGCGGAAAAAUGGCCAAAAAACGGGUGGGUUAUAGCCUUGGUGGGGAGCGUGGGCGAAGUUCGUCCGCCGGACUCGGAAUGGCCCCAGGCUUGGCGGGCGGCCUCCGUGUGCGAAAAAUAGGCCACGGGCACAGGCGCGCCCAAAAAUCAGGCCCCGAAGUUCGGGGUCCCAAGACCCCCCAGCGGAAAAAUGGCCAAAAAACGGGUGGGCUAUAGCCUAUGUGGGGGGCGUUGGCGAAGUUCGUUCGCCGGACUCGGAAUGGCCCCAGACUUGGUGGGCGGACUCCGUGUGCCAAAAAUAGGCCACGGGCACAGCCGCGCCCAAAAAUCAGCCACCGAAGGUCGGGGUCCCAAGACCCCCAAGCGGAAAAAUAGCCAAAAAACGGGUGGGCAAUAGCCUUGGUGGGGGGCGUGGGCGAAGUUCGUCCGCGGGACUCGGAAUGGAACCAGACUUGGCGGGCGGCCUCCGUGUGCCAAAAAUAGGCCACGGGCACAGCCGCGCCCAAAAAUCAGCCCCCGAAGGUCGGGGUCCCAAGACCCCCCAGCGGAAAAAUGGCCAAAAAAUGGGUGGGUUAUAGCCUUGGUGGGCAGCGUGGGCGAAGUUCGUCCGCGGGACUCAGAAUGGCCCCAGACUUGGCGGGCGGCCUCCGUGUACCAAAAAUAGGACACGGGCACAGCCGCGCCCAAAAAUCAGCCCCCGAAGGUUGGGGUCCCAAGACCCCCCAGCGUAAAAAUGGCCAAAAAAAGGGUGGGCUAUAGCCUUGGUGGGGGGCGUGGGCGAAGUUCGUCCGCGGGACUCGGAAUGGCCCCAGACUUGGCGGGCGGCCUCCGUGUGACAAAAAUAGGCCACGGGCACAGCCGCGCCCAAAAAUCAGCCCCCGAAGUCGGGGUCCGAAGACCCCCCAGCGGAAAUAUGGCCAAAAAACGGGUUGGCUAUAACCUUGGUGGGCGGCGUGGGCGAAGUUCGUCCGCGGGACUCAGAAUGGCCCCAGACUUGGCGGGCGGCCUCCGUGUGCGAAAAAUAGGCCACGGGCACAGCCGCGCCCAAAAAUCAGCCCCCGAAGGACGGGGUCCCAAGAUCCCCCAGCGGAAAAAUGGCCAAAAAACGGGUGGGUUAUAGCCUUGGUGGGGGGCGUGGGCGAAGUUCGUCCGCCGGACUCGGAAUGGCCCCAAGCUUGGCGGGCGGCCUCCGUGUGCGAAAAAUAGGCCACGGGCACAGGCGCGCCCAAAAAUCAGGCCCCGAAGUUCGGGGUCCCAAGACCCCCCAGCGGAAAAAUGGCCAAAAAACGGGUGGGCUAUAGCCUAUGUGGGGGGCGUUGGCGAAGUUCGUUCGCCGGACUCGGAAUGGCCCCAGACUUGGUGGGCGGACUCCGUGUGCCAAAAAUAGGCCACGGGCACAGCCGCGCCCAAAAAUCAGCCACCGAAGGUCGGGGUCCCAAGACCCCCCAGCGGAAAAAUAGCCAAAAAACGGGUGGGCAAUAGCCUUGGUGGGGGGCGUGGGCGAAGUUCGUCCGCGGGACUCGGAAUGGAACCAGACUUGGCGGGCGGCCUCCGUGUGCCAAAAAUAGGCCACGGGCACAGCCGCGCCCAAAAAUCAGCCCCCGAAGGUCGGGGUCCCAAGAACCCCCAGCGGAAAAAUGGCCAAAAAAUGGGUGGGUUAUAGCCUUGGUGGGCAGCGUGGGCGAAGUUCGUCCGCGGGACUCAGAAUGGCCCCAGACUUGGCGGGCGGCCUCCGUGUACCAAAAAUAGGACACGGGCACAGCCGCGCCCAAAAAUCAGCCCCCGAAGGUUGGGGUCCCAAGACCCCCCAGCGUAAAAAUGGCCAAAAAAAGGGUGGGCUAUAGCCUUGGUGGGGGGCGUGGGCGAAGUUCGUCCGCGGGACUCGGAAUGGCCCCAGACUUGGCGGGCGGCCUCCGUGUGACAAAAAUAGGCCACGGGCACAGCCGCGCNNNNNNNNNNNNNNNNNNNNNNNNNNNNNNNNNNNNNNNNNNNNNNNNNNNNNNNNNNNNNNNNNNNNNNNNNNNNNNNNNNNNNNNNNNNNNNNNNNNNCCCCCCAGCGGAAAAAUGGCCAAAAAACGGGUUGGCUAUAACCUUGGUGGGCGGCGUGGGCGAAGUUCGUCCGCGGGACUCAGAAUGGCCCCAGACUUGGCGGGCGGCCUCCGUGUGCGAAAAAUAGGCCACGGGCACAGCCGCGCCCAAAAAUCAGCCCCCGAAGGACGGGGUCCCAAGAUCCCCCAGCGGAAAAAUGGCCAAAAAACGGGUGGGUUAUAGCCUUGGUGGGGGGCGUGGGCGAAGUUCGUCCGCCGGACUCGGAAUGGCCCCAGGCUUGGCGGGCGGCCUCCGUGUGCGAAAAAUAGGCCACGGGCACAGGCGCGCCCAAAAAUCAGGCCCCGAAGUUCGGGGUCCCAAGACCCCCCAGCGGAAAAAUGGCCAAAAAACGGGUGGGCUAUAGCCUAUGUGGGGGGCGUUGGCGAAGUUCGUUCGCCGGACUCGGAAUGGCCCCAGACUUGGUGGGCGGACUCCGUGUGCCAAAAAUAGGCCACGGGCACAGCCGCGCCCAAAAAUCAGCCACCGAAGGUCGGGGUCCCAAGACCCCCCAGCGGAAAAAUAGCCAAAAAACGGGUGGGCAAUAGCCUUGGUGGGGGGCGUGGGCGAAGUUCGUCCGCGGGACUCGGAAUGGAACCAGACUUGGCGGGCGGCCUCCGUGUGCCAAAAAUAGGCCACGGGCACAGCCGCGCCCAAAAAUCAGCCCCCGAAGGUCGGGGUCCCAAGACCCCCCAGCGGAAAAAUGGCCAAAAAAUGGGUGGGUUAUAGCCUUGGUGGGCAGCGUGGGCGAAGUUCGUCCGCGGGACUCAGAAUGGCCCCAGACUUGGCGGGCGGCCUCCGUGUACCAAAAAUAGGACACGGGCACAGCCGCGCCCAAAAAUCAGCCCCCGAAGGUUGGGGUCCCAAGACCCCCCAGCGUAAAAAUGGCCAAAAAAAGGGUGGGCUAUAGCCUUGGUGGGGGGCGUGGGCGAAGUUCGUCCGCGGGACUCGGAAUGGCCCCAGACUUGGCGGGCGGCCUCCGUGUGCCAAAAAUAGGCCACGGGCGCAGCCGCGCCCAAAAAUCAGCCCCCGAAGGUUGGGGUCCCAAGACCCCCCAGCGUAAAAAUGGCCAAAAAAAGGGUGGGCUAUAGCCUUGGUGGGGGGCGUGGGCGAAGUUCGUCCGCCGGACNNNNNNNNNNNNNNNNNNNNNNNNNNNNNNNNNNNNNNNNNNNNNNNNNNNNNNNNNNNNNNNNNNNNNNNNNNNNNNNNNNNNNNNNNNNNNNNNNNNNNNNNNNNNNNNNNNNNNNNNNNNNNNNNNNNNNNNNNNNNNNNNNNNNNNNNNNNNNNNNNNNNNNNNNNNNNNNNNNNNNNNNNNNNNNNNNNNNNNNNNNNNNNNNNNNNNNNNNNNNNNNNNNNNNNNNNNNNNNNNNNNNNNNNNNNNNNNNNNNNNNNNNNNNNNNNNNNNNNNNNNNNNNNNNNNNNNNNNNNNNNNNNNNNNNNNNNNNNNNNNNNNNNNNNNNNNNNNNNNNNNNNNNNNNNNNNNNNNNNNNNNNNNNNNNNNNNNNNNNNNNNNNNNNNNNNNNNNNNNNNNNNNNNNNNNNNNNNNNNNNNNNNNNNNNNNNNNNUCAGCCCCGGAAGGUCGGGGUCCCAAGACCCCCCAGCGGAAAAAUGGCCAAAAAAUGGGUGGGCUAUAGCCUUGGUGGGGGGCGUGGGCGAAGUUUGUCCGCCGGACUCGGAAUGGCCCCAGACUUGGCGGGCGGCCUCCCUGUGCCAAAAAUAGGCCACGGGCACAGCCGCGCCCAAAAAUCAGCCCCCGAAGGUCGGGCUCCCAAGACCCCCCAGCGGAAAAUUGGCCAAAAAACGGGUAGGCUAUAGCCUUGGUGGGGGGCGUGGGCGAAGUUCGUCCGCGGGACUCAGAAUGGCCCCAGACUUGGCGGGCGGCCUCCGUGUGCAAAAAAUAGGCCAUGGGCACAGCCGCGCCCAAUAAUCAGCCCCCGAAGGUCGGGGUCCCAAGACCCCCCAGCGGAAAAAUGGCCAAAAAACGGGUGGGCUAUAGCCUUGGUGGGGGGCGUGGGCGAAGUUCGUCCGCGGGACUCAGAAUGGCCCCAGACUUGGCGGGCGGCCCCCGUGUGCCAAAAAUAGGCCACGGGCACAGCCGCGCCCAAAAAUCAGCCCCCGAAGGUCGGGGUCCCAAGACCCCCCAGCGGAAAAAUGGCCAAAAAACGGGUGGGCUAUAGCCUUGGUGGGGGUAGUGGGCGAAGUUCGUCCGCGGGACUCGCAAUGGCACCAGACUUGGCGGGCGGCCUCCGUGUGCCAAAAAUAGGCCACGGGCGCAGCCGCGCCCAAAAAUCAGCCCCCGAAGGUCGGGGUCCCAAGACCCCCCAGCGGAAAAAUGGCCAAAAAACGGGUGGGCUAUAGCCUUGGUGGGGGGCGUGGGCGAAGUUCGUCCGCGGGACUCAGAAUGGCCCCAGACUUGGCGGGCGGCCCCCGUGUGCCAAAAAUAGGCCACGGGCACAGCCGCGCCCAAAAAUCAGCCCCUGAAGGACGGGGUCCCAAGACCCCCCAGCGGAAAAAUGGCCAAAAAACGGCUGGGCUAUAGCCUUGGUGGGGGGAGUGGGCGAAGUUCGUCCGCGGGACUCGCAAUGGCACCAUACUUGGCGGGCGACCUCCGUGUGCCAAAAAUAGGCCACGGGCGCAGCCGCGCCCAAAAAUCAGCCCCCGAAUGUCGGGGUCCCAAGACCCCCCAGCGGAAAAAUGGCCAAAAAACGGGUGGGCUAUAGCCUUGGUGGGGGGCAUGGGCGAAGUUCGUCCGCGGGACUCGAAAUGGCACCAGACUUGGCGGGCGGCCUCCGUGUGCCAAAAAUAGGCCACGGGCACAGCCGCGCCCAAAAAUCAGCCCCCGAAGGUCGGGGUCCCAAGUCCCCCAGCGGAAAAAUGGCAAAAAAACGGGUGGGCUAUAGCCUUGGUGGGGGGCGUGGGCGAAGUUCGUCCGCCGGACUCGGAAUGGCCCUAGACUUGGCGGGCGGCCUCUGUGUGCCAAAAAUAGGCCACGGGCACAGCCGCGCCCAAAAAUCAGCCCCCGAAGGUCGGGGUCCCAAGACCCCCCAGCGGAAAAAUGGCCAAAAAAAGGGUGGGCUAUAGCCUUGGUGGGGGGCGUGGGCGAAGUUCGUCCGCGGGACUCGGAAUGGCACCAUACUUGGCGGGCGGCCUCCGUGUGCCAAAAACAGGCCACGGGCGCAGCCGCGCCC